UCCGGCGUCGCCCGACCGGGCGACAGCGCGCCGUCUUCGAAGGGCGGCGCCUCGGCCUCGUGUUCGAUCCCCGCGCCGCGC
rnacentral:tRNA from 1 species